ACACUCCUACGGGAGGCAGCAGUGGGGAAUUUUGGACAAUGGGCGAAAGCCUGAUCCAGCAAUGCCGCGUGCAGGAUGAAGGCCUUCGGGUUGUAAACUGCUUUUGUACGGAACGAAAAAGCUCCUUCUAAUACAGGGGGCCCAUGACGGUACCGUAAGAAUAAGCACCGGCUAACUACGUGCCAGCAGCCGCGGUAAUACGUAGGGUGCGCGCGUUAAUCGGAAUUACUGGGCGUAAAGCGUGCGCAGGCGGUUAUGUAAGACAGAUGUGAAAUCCCCGGGCUCAACCUGGGAACUGCAUUUGUGACUGCAUGGCUAGAGUACGGUAGAGGGGGAUGGAAUUCCGCGUGUAGCAGUGAAAUGCGUAGAUAUGCGGAGGAACACCGAUGGCGAAGGCAAUCCCCUGGACCUGUACUGACGCUCAUGCACGAAAGCGUGGGGAGCAAACAGGAUUAGAAACCCCAGUAGUCCCAUGA
rnacentral:rRNA from 1 species